rnacentral:rRNA from 1 species
GUGCCAGCAGCCGCGGUAAUACGUAGGGGGCUAGCGUUGUCCGGAAUCAUUGGGCGUAAAGAGCGUGUAGGCGGCUCGGUAAGUCCGCUGUGAAAGUCCAGGGCUCAACCCUGGAAUGCCAGUGGAAACUGUCGAGCUAGAGUCCGGAAGAGGCGAGUGGAAUUCCUGGUGUAGCGGUGAAAUGCGCAGAUAUCAGGAGGAACACCAAUGGCGAAGGCAGCUCGCUGGGACGGUACUGACGCUGAGACGCGAAAGCGUGGGGAGCAAACAGGAUUAGAUACCCUUGUAGUCC